GAUGAACGCUGGCGGCGUGCCUAAUACAUGCAAGUCGAGCGAACGGACGAGAAGCUUGCUUCUCUGAUGUUAGCGGCGGACGGGUGAGUAACACGUGGAUAACCUACCUAUAAGACUGGGAUAACUUCGGGAAACCGGAGCUAAUACCGGAUGAUAUUUUGAACCGCAUGGUUCAAAAGUGAAAGACGGUCUUGCUGUCACUUAUAGAUGGAUCCGCGCUGCAUUAGCUAGUUGGUAAGGUAACGGCUUACCAAGGCAACGAUGCAUAGCCGACCUGAGAGGGUGAUCGGCCACACUGGAACUGAGACACGGUCCAGACUCCGACGGGAGGCAGCAGUAGGGAAUCUUCCGCAAUGGGCGAAAGCCUGACGGAGCAACGCCGCGUGAGUGAUGAAGGUCUUCGGAUCGUAAAACUCUGUUAUUAGGGAAGAACAUAUGUGUAAGUAACUGUGCACAUCUUGACGGUACCUAAUCAGAAAGCCACGGCUAACUACGU
rnacentral:rRNA from 1 species